UUUAGUGAAUUAUUUCGUCAUCGGCUAUUUCAAACAAAAACUGCUGAACAGGGCCGGAUUUAGAGAUCUGGAGUCCUCGGGGGCUACAAAGAAGUGGAGGCUCCUUGGGCCCCAAAUUAUUUUCCAAAUAAAAUUAACAAUUUUUUAAAAGGUAAAUGGGAAAAAAAUAUGUAAGGAAAAGUUGUUUACCGUAAUUUACUAGUCUGAAUUUGAAUUGUUUUCUCGAAGUCUCUCGUGUGGGCCCUCUCUACAUCCGGCCCUAAUCUCCUGAAUCAACUAAACUUCAUCUUUCAUCAUUUCAGCCUAUUACAGUUCACUGCUGGACAUAGGCCUCCACAAGUUCGUGCCUGUGUAUUUCAAAGCAAGCUUAGCAACUAAACUCAUAUAAUAAAUACCCACGUGUAACAGAAUAUCCUAUUCACUCUUUGUUCGAAUUCUAUCAAGAUUAGGUUGACAUUAACAAAUACGUACGAAGUAAACUAAAUUGUUUGUUGCUGUAAAAAUAAAUGUCUUCACUGAUACUGUUAGUGAUAGAUAGUAUACGUACCUACUGUUAAAUUAGGUAAUAAAAAUCACAAUAUUUAACCUUAAAACUCAUGUUUUAAGGUGUUGUGUAAAAGUUAUUAUUUAAUUUAAUUCAAUUUGAUUAUAAAAUUAAUACGUAAAAAAAAAAAAACUGUUCAAAGUCUAACCGACAAAAGACAGCUCUAAAGAAAAUAAAUAAAGUAAUUAUUUUUAAACUAUUUUUUGAAAACCAUACAGCAAUUUAAGUAUAAAUUUUCGAAAUUCGUUAUAUAUAAAUUUUGAUUAUACAGGUUAAAUUAUU
rnacentral:misc_RNA from 1 species